rnacentral:piRNA from 1 species
UAGCAGGCAAGAGAGAGCACGUGCAGGGGA